rnacentral:rRNA from 1 species
AGCUCUAGUAGCGUAUAUUAAUGUUGCUGCAGUUAAAAAGCUCGUAGUUGGAUUUCUACACUGAUUUGUCCGGCCCGCCUGAAAAGGUUGAGUGCUCGCGAUACAUCGUGUUUCCUUUUAGUGAGGCUGCGCUGCCGAGAGGUUUGUGUUGUCCGAGCUAAAUCUUUUACUUUGAAAAAAUUGGAGUGUUUAAAGCAGGCGUACGCUAUGAACAUUACAGCAUGGAAUGACGAUAUAGGGCUUCUGUCUUAUUUUGUUGGUUCUAGAGACGGAAGUAAUGAUUGAUAGGGAUGAUCUGGGGGUGCCUGUAUUUCAUGGCUAGAGGUGAAAUUCUUGGAUUCAUGAAAGACAAACUUAUGCGAAAGCAUUCACCAAAUGCAUCUUCU